rnacentral:rRNA from 1 species
UAGGGAAUUUUCGUCAAUGGGGGAACCCUGAACGAGCAAUGCCGCGUGUGUGAAGAAGGCCUUCGGAUCGUAAAGCACUGUUGUAAGUGAAGAAUGCCAUAUAGAGGAAAUGCUAUGUGGGUGACGGUAGCUUACCAGAAAGCCACGGCUAACUACGUGCCAGCAGCCGCGGUAAUACGUAGGUGGCAAGCGUUAUCCGGAAUCAUUGGGCGUAAAGGGUGCGUAGGUGGCACGAUAAGUCUGAAGUAAAAGGCAACAGCUCAACUGUUGUAUGCUUUGGAAACUGUCGAGCUAGAGUGCAGAAGAGGGCGAUGGAAUUCCAUGUGUAGCGGUAAAAUGCGUAGAUAUAUGGAGGAACACCAGUGGCGAAGGCGGUCGCCUGGUCUGUAACUGACACUGAUGCACGAAAGCGUGGGGAGCAAAUAGGAUUAGAUACC